UACGGAGGGUGCAAGCGUUGUUCGGAAUUACUGGGCGUAAAGCGCGCGCAGGCGGUCCUUUAAGUCUGAUGUGAAAGCCCACGGCUCAACCGUGGAGGGUCAUUGGAAACUGGAGGACUUGAGUACAGAAGAGGAAAGCGGAAUUCCACGUGUAGCGGUGAAAUGCGUAGAGAUGUGGAGGAACACCAGUGGCGAAGGCGGCUUUCUGGUCUGUAACUGACGCUGAGGCGCGAAAGCGUGGGGAGCAAACAGG
rnacentral:rRNA from 1 species